rnacentral:rRNA from 1 species
AAAAUUCAAAGGAAUUUGCGGGGGGGCCGCCCCAAAGCGGGCGGGCCAUGCGGGUUUAUUUCGUUGCAACGCGGAAGAACCCUUUACCUGGGGUUGACAAAAGGGGGAAAACCUGGCAGAGAUGUCAGGGUCCGCAAGGGGCCCCAUACAAGGUGGUGCAUGGCUGUCGUCAGCUCGUGUCGUGAAGAUGUUGGGUUAAGUCCCGCAACGAGCGCCAACCCUCGUCCUAUGUUGCCAGCGGAGUAAUGUCGGGGACUCAUAGGAGACUGCCGGGGUCAACUCGGAGGAAGGUGGGGAUGACGUCAAGUCCAUCAUGCCCCCUUAUGUCCAGGGCUGCACGCAUGCUACAAUGGCCGGUACAAAGGGCUGCAAAACCGCAAGGUGGAGCGAAUCCCAAAAAGCCGGUCUCAGUUCGGAUUGGGGUCUGCAACUCGACCCCAUGAAGUCGGAGUCGCUAGUAAUCGCAGAUCAGCAACGCUGCGGUGAAUACGUUCCCGGGCCUUGUACACACCGCCCGUCAAGUCACGAAAGUCGGUAACACCCGAAGCCGGUGGCCCAACCGCAAGGAGGGAGCCGUCGAAGGUGGGACUGGCGAUUGGGACUAAGUCGUAACAAGGUAA